rnacentral:rRNA from 1 species
CCUACGGGGGGCUGCAGCCGCGGUAAUACGUAGGGUGCGAGCGUUAAUCGGAAUUACUGGGCGUAAAGCGUGCGCAGGCGGUUUUGUAAGACAGGCGUGAAAUCCCCGGGCUCAACCUGGGAACUGCGCUUGUGACUGCAAGGCUAGAGUACGGCAGAGGGGGGUGGAAUUCCACGUGUAGCAGUGAAAUGCGUAGAGAUGUGGAGGAACACCAAUGGCGAAGGCAGCCCCCUGGGUCGAUACUGACGCUCAUGCACGAAAGCGUGGGUAGCAAA